UAGGGAAUAUUGCACAAUGGGCGAAAGCCUGAUGCAGCAACGCCGCGUGCGCGAUGAAGGCCUUCGGGUCGUAAAGCGCUUUUCGGGGAGAUGAGGAAGGACAGUAUCCCCAGAAUAAGGCUCGGCUAACUACGUGCCAGCAGCCGCGGUAAAACGUAGGAGCCUAGCGUUAUCCGAAUUUACUGGGCGUAAAGCGCGUGCAGGCGGUUCGAUAAGUUGGAUGUGAAAUCUCCUGGCUCAACUAGGAGAGGUCGUUCAAUACUAUCGGACUAGAGGAUGGUAGAGGGAGGUGGAAUUCCCGGUGUAGUGGUGAAAUGCGUAGAUAUCGGGAGGAACACCAGUGGCGAAAGCGGCCUCCUGGGCCAUUCCUGACGCUCAGACGCGAAAGCUAGGGGAGCAAACGGG
rnacentral:rRNA from 1 species